UUGAUUGGGUGGAGAGUCAGUUCACGGUUCUUUUUUGACAGGGCGGGACUAACUGCGUACUUGCCUGUCUUAUCCAAUCGUCGCGCUUCGUUCCGUGGGUGGGUGGGGUUUUAGCUGACGGAAAGACCGAGACUCAUCCGCCGUUCAUUCGUCACCGACGAGUGGACGGACUGACUCGACAUGGCUAACCGGGUCUAUGCACAGUCGUUUGGCUAACGAUCAAUUGACUUUUUAUUGAUUGAACCGGAAUGAACGGUUUUGCUCACCACUAGUGAAUAGCGCUGAUGAAAAUGACUUCCGGUUUAGCGUUUCCAGCGCUGAUGAAAACAACUUCCGGUUUAGCGUGGCCUGCUUUCACAAUAAAAGCUAAACAACAAUGCAAUGCAAUGGAAGCAUAUGUCCGCCUGUUAUAGUGCAAGUUUCUUCCUGUUAGAGAUCAUUUAAGUGAGCUUCCUGUGACGGAGGAUACUAUCAAUUCACCUGUGAAUCUCAUUAUACUCCACAGAAAGUCAUAAUGGAUGAAGAAGAAGAACACGUCUGACCCCAGACGUGUCUCUUGGUCCAUGACCGCUUUUAAGGCUAACUAAUAGCGCCAUCUUGCCCCACAAUAAAUCUCCGCAGCACAGAUAAAAACGAUAGCAUCGGCAAGAUGGAGAGCAGUGUGGUAUCAUUUUAAUGGCGUGUGUGUGUGUGUGUGUGUGUGCAAAGACAAAUAUUGCUCGGAGUGUGUGUGCAUACAUCCCAAGAAGAAGAUGCUGAUCCUUCUCAGGAUUAAGUGUCUUUGUGGCUGCAACACAAGAUGACUUUGAUUGAUUCUUGAAUAGUUUGGGCACCAUCUGCCGUCUGAGGCUUCUCAGCUUUUUUUUUUUGUUUUGUUUUCCAAAAGCUUUAACUACGAAAAAUCUGUGUGUGAUAUUGGACCCGACUCUAGCUUUUCAUAAGCACAUUAAGAAUGUUAC